rnacentral:rRNA from 1 species
UACGAAGGGGGCUAGCGUUGUUCGGAAUUACUGGGCGUAAAGGGCGCGUAGGCGGUACUUCAAGUCAGGCGUGAAAGCCCCGGGCUCAACCUGGGAACCGCGCUUGAGACUGGAGAACUAGAGUUCGGGAGGGGAUGGUGGAAUUCCCAGUGUAGAGGUGAAAUUCGUAGAUAUUGGGAAGAACACCGAUGGCGAAGGCAGCCAUCUGGACCGACACUGACGCUGAGGCGCGAAAGCGUGGGGAGCAAACAGG